GACGUAGGGCGCAAGCGUUGUCCGGAUUUAUUGGGCGUAAAGAGCUCGUAGGCGGCUUGUUGCGUCGUCCGUGAAAACCUGUGGCUCAACUACAGGCUUGCGGUCGAUACGGGCGGGCUGGAGUUCGGUAGGGGAGACUGGAAUUCCUGGUGUAGCGGUGAAAUGCGCAGAUAUCAGGAGGAACACCAAUGGCGAAGGCAGAUCUCUGGGCCGUAACUGACGCUGAGGAGCGAAAGCAUGGGGAGCGAACAGG
rnacentral:rRNA from 1 species